UUGGGAAAAUUUAAAAUUAUUCAUAUUCAAACAGUUUUUGGCAAAUUAUUGACUCAAAUUUAAUGAAGGUUAGAUAAACUCUUAAAAAACAAUGGAUUUACGAAGGUUUGGCAACGGAGGUGGAGAUGCCGAUGGAUCAAAUUUUAUGAUUCAUCGUACCCCAAAUUAUUAUAACCUCCCGCUUCUAGACAGGUAUGCCAACAUUGUUUUCCCUAAUACACACGCACAAUUCCAACUAAGAUUUGAAAAUGACAUCUAUAGAUGUCAUUUCCAAUUGCGUCAGCAAAUCGGUAUUCCACUUUCCGCAUUUGAAGUGGCUCCGUCUGCAAAUAUAGGUCGAAGUCAAACAUUUGUGGCUCUAGGCUUUAAAGAGGAGUAUAGUCGAAUGCAUCGAGUGAAACAAUUAAAAUUUCAAAGGAAGUUAGAUAUACUUGUUCAGAGUCGUUAUAAGCAAAGAAAGAAUGACCUUUUUUUAGAAAUAUACGGCAUUGGACAAGUAGAACCCCACUAACUAAUAUUGUUCACCCGAGUCAGCGGACCGCUGCAUUCAAUGGAGAAAUUUUAUAAGAAUUUAAUGAAAUGCCACAAAUUUAAUGGGUAAAAAUCACUUAUCUACUAGUGUAUUUAUUAAGAUAUGUAAAAAAUUAUUUAUGUGAUUUUCCGAGGCCGCGCCAAAUAAUCUUUUUCUCCAUUGGACUUUACCAACAUAUGCAGCAUACAAAAAGUACAAUAGAUACUCAAUUUUUGUUCCUGUUAGCGUAAUACUUUACAAUCUUAACAACACCAAAUAACAUAGAGUCACGAUUUGUGAAAAUUAAUGGAAUUAUUGAACGCUAAACAUGAGCUACAAAUUUAGAUACGUUGUCACUUAACACUAGAAGAACAUCUUAACUGGAAAGACCACCUUUAUCGUGUAAUUCUGCUACUACAAGAAAGGUCUGAAUAUUUGGUCAUAACUUUUUUAAUAUAAAGUUAACAAAUGAAUUCUAAUCCUAAAAACUAUAUGUGUGAAUAUCCAAAGAUAUAAAUGAAAACAUAACUGGACUGAGUUAACAAAAAAUUGAACAGGGAAACACAUCUAAGUGCAACUUUAGUGAUAAAAUCCAGAAGUAAACCUAUAAAAACUAAUGUUAUAUAGGAGCUGAGUUAAAUGAAAAUCGAGUAACUCUAGAAUUUAUCCUAUCGUAGUUAUAGUUUGUAAUAAUUAAUAUGCAUUAACAAUUGCAUUUUUUAAAAAACGUAAA